AGUGAACGCUGGCGGUAGGCCUAACACAUGCAAGUCGAACGGCAGCACAGUAAGAGCUUGCUCUUACGGGUGGCGAGUGGCGGACGGGUGAGGAAUACAUCGGAAUCUACUUUUUCGUGGGGGAUAACGUAGGGAAACUUACGCUAAUACCGCAUACGACCUACGGGUGAAAGCAGGGGAUCUUCGGACCUUGCGCGAUUGAAUGAGCCGAUGUCGGAUUAGCUAGUUGGCGGGGUAAAGGCCCACCAAGGCGACGAUCCGUAGCUGGUCUGAGAGGAUGAUCAGCCACACUGGAACUGAGACACGGUCCAGACUCCUACGGGAGGCAGCAGUGGGGAAUAUUGGACAAUGGACGCAAGCCUGAUCCAGCCAUACCGCGUGGGUGAAGAAGGCCUUCGGGUUGUAGAGCCCUUUUGUUGGGAAAGAAAAGCAGCAGGUUAAUACCCCGCUGUUCUGACGGUACCCAAAGAAUAAGCACCGGCUAACUUCGUG
rnacentral:rRNA from 1 species